GACGAGAAUCAAACAUGCAUUGAACAUUCCCCGUUCUCAGCCCGUGCUCCCUCCCCCAGCCUCAGCCCCUCCAGAUCCCGGAGCCCAGUGCCAGCAGAAGGCAGGUUGUCUGGGAUGAACUAAAUGGAGCAACUUGACAUCAAUAUUGUUACAGAGCGUGUUAACAAAGGCUCAGCCACAGCAUGAAGACCAGGAAAGAGUGGCACAUGGCAGCACUUACCCACACGGUCCUGGAGAAAUGCAGGAAUGGAGCCCCGGUCAAGGGCCAUCCAGUGUGGGACGACUCGGAUGCAAAACAGCUCCACAUAUGGAUAAUGAUGAUGGUUGACAUGCUGCUCUUGGGGAGCAUAAGAGAUGCUCACAGAGAAGACAGGUCACAAGACCCACUACAAAAUCCUGAAUCAUGCCAAACUGAUUUAUUGCUUCCCUAGAUUCAAUCUAGACCUACUGUGCAUCCCACUGUGAAAGUCUUGGACCAGUAUGUGGGAGCCACAAUGAUUAUGGAACUACUGAGCACUCAGCCCACUUCCUUACUUC
ensembl:lncRNA